UACAGAGGUGGCAAGCGUUGUUCGGAAUUACUGGGCGUAAAGGGCGCGUAGGCGGCCAUCUAAGUCAGACGUGAAAUCCCCCGGCUUAACCUGGGAACUGCGUCUGAUACUGGACGGCUAGAGUAUGGGAGAGGGAUGUAGAAUUCAAGGUGUAGCGGUGAAAUGCGUAGAUAUCUGGAGGAAUACCGGUGGCGAAGGCGGCAUCCUGGACCAUUUACUGACGCUGAGGCGCGAAAGCUAGGGGAGCAAACGGG
rnacentral:rRNA from 1 species